AUUUACAUGAUUAGUGUGGUGUCUUAUCCUGCAUAUGCAUGUGACAGUAGGGAGUUGUUGCUGGUUCGCCUGGGGCGUAAAACCCACCUUCCGACAGCUGUCUAGCAUUUACAUUAUCGAUAUGGUGUCUUAUCCUGCAUAUGCAUGUGACAGUAGGGAGUUGUUGCUGGUUCGCCUGGGGCGUAAAACCCACCUCUUGACAGCUGUC
rnacentral:lncRNA from 1 species